rnacentral:lncRNA from 1 species
ACCGUCUCAACCCUGAGCCGCUAAAUAAGGGCUGAGAUGUAUUUGGUCUUGGGUUGUAGAUGUGAGCCUGUUUGUGGGAGAGCGUUUAGGCCAGUCAAAUAUGCAGGAGGGGAGGACAUUUUAUACCAGCUAUUAGGUUCUGGUCUGACAUCACUGCCUCCCAAUACGUAGUGAAUCUACCUGUCCGAGUCCCAAUACAUGUUGAAUCUGCCUGUCUGCCUCCCAAUACAUAGUGAAUCUACCUGUCUGUAACAAAUCCAGUAUGGUGUCUUUCUUCUACCAUCCCAUCCAGUAUGGUUCCUUUCUUCUACCAUCCCAUCCGGUAUGGUUCCUUUCUUUCUCAACCAUCCCAUCCGGUAUGGUUCCUUUCUUCUACCAUCCCAUCCAGUAUGGUUCCUUUCUUCUACCAUCCCAUCUGGUAUGGUUCCUCUCUUCUACCAUACCAUCCAGUAUGGUGUCUUUCUUCUACCAUCCCAUCCAGUAUGGUUCUGUUUCUUCUACCAUCCCAUCCAGUAUGUUUCUGUUCUUCUACCAUCCCAUCCAGUAUGGUUCGUUCUUCUACCAUCCCAUCCAGUAUGGUUCCUUUUCUUCUACCAUCCCAUCCAGUAUGGUUCCUUCUUCUACCAUCCCAUCCAGUAUGGUUCCUUUCUUCUACCAUCCCAUCCCGUAUGUUUCCUUCUUCUUAACCAUCCCAUCCCGUAUGGUUCCUUUCUUCUACCAUCCCAUCCGGUAUGGUUCCUUUCUUCUACCAUCCCAUCCGGUAUGGUUCCUUUCUUCUACCAUCCCAUCCGGUAUGGUUCCUUUCUUCUACCAUCCCAUCUGGUAUGGUUCCUCUCUUCUACCAUACCAUCCAGUAUGGUGUCUUUUCUUCUUACCUCACCAUCCAGUAUGGUUCUGUUUUCUACCACCAUCCAGUAUGUUUCUGUCUUCUACCAUCCCAUCCAGUAUGGUUCUGUUCUUCUACCAUCCCAUCCAGUAUGGUUCCUUCUUCUACCACCCUCCAGUAUGUUCCUUUCUUCUACCAUCCCAUCCAUAUGGUGUCUUUUUCU